rnacentral:rRNA from 1 species
AUUGAACGCUGGCGGCAUGCUUUACACAUGCAAGUCGAACGCGAAAGGGGGCAACCCUGAGUAGAGUGGCGCACGGGUGAGUAAUGCAUCGGAACGUGUCCUGUAAUGGGGGAUAACGCAGCGAAAGCUGUGCUAAUACCGCAUACGUCCUACGGGAGAAAGUGGGGGAUUCGCAAGAACCUCACGUUAUAGGAGCGGCCGAUGCCGGAUUAGCUAGUUGGUGGGGUAAAAGCUCACCAAGGCGACGAUCCGUAGCUGGUCUGAGAGGAU